UUAGAGGCGGUGCCAGGAUCUGUAUAAAUAGAGAUCCUGCAAAAAUGAGCAACAAGAAGAACGACUUGAUUUCACCGCAGUGGUUUGUUUCGUAACUCUUCAAGUUCCUGAGAACAACAUGCAAUGAUCCUGAUGAUGGAUAGAACUCCAAGGCGAAAUGGAGCACGACUAUGACAACAGAUCAAACCAUUAAAGAGAAAAUCAUCUUGCGUGUUGUGUCAAAGUUUACUGGUGAAGUUCUUGCAUGUUGUGUCAAGGUGUACUGGUGAAGUUGUUGAUGCAUAUUACCUUGAGAUGGACAACGAUGAUGAUGAGAUUACUGAUGAUGAUGAGGAUGCGAAGGGAGGAAGAUGAGUAGGAGGACGAGGACAACAGUGAAGAGGAUGAGCAAGGAAAGAAGAGCAUAAAAAGUCAUCAGCUGGACGCAAGGUUUUAGCAAUUACUCAACAUCGACCUUUGGUUCUAUGUCUUAUAGUUAUUUAAGGGCUGAUAUAACCUGAGGCUCUUUUCUUUGUGAACAAAGUCUGGAAGCAUACAACUUGCGAAAGGUCAACAAGGUGAGAAGCCAUUGGAGAGUAAGCAACAGUGAGUAAAAUUCUUCUGCAGUAUAGAAAGUGGCUUAUUUGUGAAGAAGAGUCGGAUCUUUCUGUUUCAGAAGUUAUAGAAUCGUUGUCCGGUUGAUACAAUAUAUCAAGUUCUGUCAGGUGGUUUGCUAGAAAAAUUGGUUAUUUGGUUUGGUGUGGUUUGUGUCUGAUUUUUCAUUUGUAACGUGUUUCUAAUCAUGAACUGGUUUGAACUAAUAGUAUUUGUCGUUUUGUUCACAA